AGUGAACGCUGGCGGUAGGCCUAACACAUGCAAGUCGAACGGCAGCACAGGAGAGCUUGCUCUCUGGGUGGCGAGUGGCGGACGGGUGAGGAAUACAUCGGAAUCUACUUUUUCGUGGGGGAUAACGUAGGGAAACUUACGCUAAUACCGCAUACGACCUACGGGUGAAAGCAGGGGACCUUCGGGCCUUGCGCGAUUGAAUGAGCCGAUGUCGGAUUAGCUAGUUGGCGGGGUAAAGGCCCACCAAGGCGACGAUCCGUAGCUGGUCUGAGAGGAUGAUCAGCCACACUGGAACUGAGAAACGGUCCGGACUCCUACGGGAGGCAGCAGUGGGGAAUAUUGGACAAUGGGCGCAAGCCUGAUCCAGCCAUACCGCGUGGGUGAAGAAGGCCUUCGGGUUGUAAAGCCCUUUUGUUGGGAAAGAAAUCCAGCCGGCUAAUACCUGGUUGGGAUGACGGUACCCAAAGAAUAAGCACCGGCUAACUUCGUGCCAGCCGCCGCAGUA
rnacentral:rRNA from 1 species